GGAUAGCUCAGCUGGUUAGAGCAUGGUGCUGAUAAUGCCAACGUUGCAGGUUCAAUCCCCAUAUGGGACA